AGGGGAUCAAUAUGCAACAGCCUCUCAAGAAGCUAUGUCCUUCAUCUUAUUUCUCAUCAGCAGAUGGGAAAUGAAAAUCUGAUCUGUCAUCAGUCACAUAGUGCAUCUGAAAGAUUACUGAAGAAGUUUAUUACUGCAGAAUAUUACUCCAGAAGUUGGAGGUUUGUCUUUUCUACAGUAUCUGACUGGCUUCAAGAGACAUCAUCUGUGAUUAGCCGUAUCUUCACGUCACUCGAUCCCUGAUCAAUGGUGACUGAAAGGAGUUCAUAUCCGGCAGCUGUUCUGUGGUCUGUGUGAAAUGAGGGAGGAUCUUCGUUAUUUCCCAGCAGAUUGCCCCUCCAUGGCACAAUCAGAAUAAUCUGGCAGUUUUUACAGAGAAACUAUGGAUAGAUUGCACAUGGCACUUGCAGAUAUCUGACAAGUAAUUAGCCUAUUUUUAUUCUAUUUUUAAAUAAGACCUUUAUUUUUUCAAAUAAUCCAUAUUUUGGCAUGGCAGGC
rnacentral:lncRNA from 1 species